rnacentral:rRNA from 1 species
UACGUAGGGGGGCUAGCGUUGUCCGGAAUCAUUGGGCGUAAAGCGCGUGUAGGCGGUCCGGUAAGUCCGCUGUGAAAGCCAGGGGCUCAACCCUUGGAUGCCGGUGGAUACUGUCGGGCUUGAGUACGGAAGAGGCGAGUGGAAUUCCUGGUGUAGCGGUGGAAUGCGCAGAUAUCAGGAGGAACACCUAUAGCGAAGGCAGCUCGCUGGGACGGUACUGACGCUGAGGCGCGAAAGCGUGGGGAGCGAACAGG